UUAGCAGGUCUAUCUUAUCGCUUUGUACUGAAAUCAAUUUAGAACAAAGAGGAAAGUCCGGACACCAAAGAGUAGCAUAGCGGAUAACAUCCGUCCAGUGUAAACUGAGGACAAGUGCAACAGAAAGCAAGUACAGUUAGGCUGUAGUGAAACCAGGUAAACUCUAUGCGGUGCAAUGCCACGUAUAUUGGAGCUUGAGAAUUACUCGUUCGAUUCCAAGGGGUGGGCAGAUAGAUUCUAAAAGUAAUUUUAGAACUAGAUAAAUGAUAAGAGUCUGUUUUACAGAUACAGGAUUCGGCUUAUUGACCUGCUUUAUUU
rnacentral:RNase_P_RNA from 1 species